AUACUAGUAAAUAGCUGCUUCACACACGUCGGAGUCACCCUCACCAUGCGAGUCUUACUUCUAUUAUUUUUGCUGGCCCCUCUUGAAGUCUUUUGCAGACAUCCGAACCGCCGAGUCCAGCGAAUUCUAGAAGCGAGGCAGAGACGACGUCAUAACCCUCAAUUUAAUUAUACCGCUGUCGGCGAACUUUUAAGUGCGACGUUGGAAAAGAUUAUG